rnacentral:rRNA from 1 species
CCAGACUCCUAGGGAGGCAGCAGUGGGGAAUAUUGGACAAUGGGGGGAACCCUGAUCCAGCGACGCCGCGUGAGUGAAGAAGUAUUUCGGUAUGUCAAGCUCUAUCAGCAGGGAAGAAAGAAAUGACGGUACCUGACUAAGAAGCCCCGGCUAACUACGUGCCAGCAGCCGCGGUAAUACGUAGGGGGCAAGCGUUAUCCGGAUUUACUGGGUGUAAAGGGAGCGUAGACGGUUACGCAAGUCUGAAGUGAAAGGCGGGGGCCCAACCCCCGGACUGCUUUGGAAACUGUGAAACUGGAGUGCAGGAGAGGUAAGUGGAAUUCCUAGUGUAGCGGUGAAAUGCGUAGAUAUUAGGAGGAACACCAGUGGCGAAGGCAGCCUCCUGGGACGCAACUGACGCUCAUACACGAAAGCGUGGGGAGCAAACAGGAUUAGAUACCCCCGUAA